GAGUGCUUGACUGGCACUUGGGAGAGCCAGAGCUAUGGCUAUGCAGCGCACUGAAGAGUGACUCUCAGACCAGCGAACACCACAGGGUUGCGGCGAGGAUAAAAUGGCGAGCAGGAGGAUGAGUGUGCACGCCGCCUUGGGAUCCCUGCGAGAGGAAAAAAGCCAGGCAUACAGUCUUAGAUGCACUUCUGACUGUUGGCUCUGAAGCGAACAUUUAUGAUUUCCAGGGCCAAUUGCUCCCUUAGGACCUUUCGCUGAAUCAGCAGGGGGAAUCAAGCCAUCCAGAUGAGACUUCUUUCCUGCGGUUGUUUUUCUUCUUUGCAGAGUUUGGCCGGCUUCCUCGAGAUAAUGAAAUCAUGAGAUUGGUAUCGACAGCUCAUUGGCUAGCCUCCACCGGCGCAGCGAGAAAGAGGAAGACUGGGCAUGCGCACUUCCUUCCCUGUAUGUUAUGAGCUGGAACUGGAAAUAGGAAAUGUGCAGACAGGAGUCUCCAAAGACUGCACUGGGGGGGAUGAGAAGCGUGGCCAGCCAUACUAUUAGACCUGUUGAUUUAAGAAACUGUGGCUUAGUGCAUCCCUUCUAGCUCUAGAGAAGUUUUUGGGGUGAGUCAGGACAAAGGGGGCAGGUCAAAAAUCCCAGCAUCUUCUAGUGUAAAGCUCUUACUGCCAGUAACUCAGCUUUAAGAGAAGGGCUUCAAGUUGUUGAAAGUAUGUGUUACAUUAUUAGUAUUACUACAUUGUUGUUGUUGCUGUUGUUGUUGUUUGUUAGUCAUAAAGUCAUGCCCAACCCAUCACGACCCCAUGGACAAAACUCCUCCAGGCUCUCCUGUCCUCCACCA